ensembl:snRNA U6 U6 spliceosomal RNA
GUACUUAUUUCAGCAGCACAUAUACUAAAAAUUGGAACGCAGAGAAAAUUAGCAUGGCCCACAGGCAAAUUCAUGAAUUAUUCCAUAUCUUA